ACAUGGGGGAGAUUCAUGUCCUUUUACUGAUGAAGAAUGGCUUGUAAAUGCAACGUGCCACCACUAGAACAUGUUUGUGGUUGGGAGGAGACCCUGUCUCGGAGUACUGCAGGCAUUGUCUGAAGAAGCCCCACACUUUUGUAAAAACAGCCUAAACAUUCAAAGAAAGUUCUUUGGAAGUAAAGAGUAAAGCAGAUGUCUGGGGGCUGGAGCCUGCGUGUUCAGAGCCGGCAGCCGAGCCUGCUGCGUGUUAACCAUCACGGUCCAGGCUGCCGCACGGAACAACAUUCGAGAGCAGCAGGGCGAAAAGAAAAGCUGGGAGCAAAGGGAAGCAGUAGGGACAGGCUCCAGUCCACCCUGCUCGCUGCACCACAACCCUCCCCAACCCACCGAGAUCAAACACACUUAAUAGAUACUUACAGCCCAUUUGAUAGCGCUGAUCCUGCGUCCCCUCGGUACCGUCUGUGCAGCGGGCUGCCAAGCAGGCACAUCUGGAUGUGGUGGAACACCGGCCUUGGCACGUCAGGAGAAACGUGUGACUUUGGGCAGAGCCCUGCUGGGCAGCCACCCUCAGGCUAGAUGCUGCUCUGGAGCUGGUGAUCACCAAAUGUGGCCAGAACUUCAGUGACCCCUGCUCUUCCUACUGCAGUUAAGUGUUCAUUGAAAGUCUCUGAGGCAGAUUCCAUCAAAAGUAUAUAUUUAUUUAUAAAAAAGAAUAAGGAAAAAAGUAUAUACCAAAGAGCUUUUUCUGUAAAAGACAAUUCCUUGGAGGCUGAAUGUCUUAGACCCAAGUAUGCCUGGCACUGCAGUCCAUGGCUGUAGAUGGCUGAUCCACAUUUGAUGCUGAAUAUCAUGGGAAUUUGGAAUCAGAUGGUUCAGCAAGGGAUUUUUCCACUGAAAACUAAGAGACAUUAACCACACAUCUCAUACAGGUUUCUGUUAGAGAUGUACAGCUAGCUCCCUUCAGGGGGUUUAAAAUUCAAUCCAGAGAGGAAAAAAAUACAUAUUUUUUUUACUCUAGGCCCUAAAUUGCUUCACUGUUUGAGUCCAUCUCCAUACAAAAGACACAUGGCCAGCCCCCUGUCCAGUGUAAAGCACCAGUGUCAUGCACACACUCCAAUAUGUGGGUCAGACUCAGAAAACCUCUUGAUCCCUCUUCUUGUACCUCCUUGGUUUAAGGGUACCAAAUACAAUAGCAGAGGUUCACCAGAAUUUUCAGUUUAACUAAAUCAUCAAUUUAAGUGAAUUUGAGGCUCCUCGUUCUGCCCAUGCUCUCUCCUGGUUUCAGAGUCUGUGGGCAGCUGUUGGGAUGUGGUUCCUUGGGAACAUAGAGGGGAGACAGUGACCCAGACAGCAGGACAGCUGCUCAGUGCUGAACCUGCCUUUGAAAUGAAAGGCAAAAUAAACAGAUCUUUUCCUUUGAGACA
rnacentral:lncRNA from 1 species